AGAGUUUGAUCCUGGCUCAGAAUCAACGCUGGCGGCGUGCCUCAGACAUGCAAGUCGAACGCGAAAGUCCCCUUCGGGGGACCGGUAGAGUGGCGCACGGGUGAGUAACACGUGGGUAAUUUACCUUCGGGUGGGGAAUAACAGUCGGAAACGACUGCUAAUACCGCAUAAUGCAGCGGCACCACAUGAUGACAGUUGUUAAAGCGGGGGAUCGCAAGACCUCGCGCCUGAAGAGAAGCCCGCGGCGGAUUAGCUAGUUGGUGGGGUAAUGGCCCACCAAGGCGUCGAUCCGUAGCCGGCCUGAGAGGGCGGUCGGCCACACUGACACUGAAUAACGGGUCAGACUCCUACGGGAGGCAGCAGUCGGGAAUUUUGGGCAAUGGGCGCAAGCCUGACCCAGCAACGCCGCGUGAAGGAUGAAAUCUUUCGGGAUGUAAACUUCACAAGAACGGGAAGAAUAAGUAAGGCUUAAUACUCCUUACGAUGACGGUACUGUUUGUAAGCUCCGGCUAACUCCGUGCCAGCAGCCGCGGUAAUACGGGGGGAGCAAGCGUUGUUCGGAUUUACUGGGCGUAAAGGGCGCGUAGGCGGCGCAACAAGUCACUUGUGAAAUCUUCAGGCUUAACCUGAAGCGGCCAAGUGAUACUGUCGUGCUAGAGUGCGGAAGGGGCAACUGGAAUUCUUGGUGUAGCGGUGAAAUGCGUAGAUAUCAAGAGGAACACCUGCGGCGAAGGCGGGUUGCUGGGCCGACACUGACGCUGAGGCGCGAAAGCUAGGGGAGCGAACGGGAUUAGAUACCCCGGUAGUCCUAGCCUUAAACGAUGAAUGCUUGGUGUCCGAGGUUUGAUAGUCCUCGGGUGCCGUCGCUAACGCUUUAAGCAUUCCGCCUGGGGGAGUACGGUCGCAAGACUGAAACUCAAAGGAAUUGACGG
rnacentral:rRNA from 1 species